rnacentral:rRNA from 1 species
AUCCAGACUGGGACUGAGACACGGCCCAGACUCCUACGGGAGGCAGCAGUAGGGAAUCUUUCACAAUGGGCGAAAGCCUGAUGGAGCAACGCCGCGUGCAGGAUGACGGCCUUCGGGUUGUAAACUGCUUUUAUAACCGAGAAAUAUGAUGGUAAGUUAUGAAUAAGGACCGGCUAACUACGUGCCAGCAGCCGCGGUCAUACGUAGGGUCCAAGCAUUAUCCGGAUUGACUGGGUGUAAAGAGUUGCGUAGGUGGCAGGGUAAGUAGAUAGUGAAAUCUGGUGGCUCAACCAUUCAGACUAUUAUCUAAACUGCUCCGCUCGAGAGCGUUAGGGGUAGCUGGAAUUUCUAGUGUAGGAGUGAAAUCCGUAGAUAUUAGAAAGAACACCGAUAGCGUAGGCAGGCUACUGGGACGUUUCUGACACUAAGGCACGAAAGCGUGGGGAGCAAACGGGAUUAGAUACCCCGGUAGUCCACGCCGUAAACGAUGGAUACUAGCAGUUUCGGGUAUCGACCCCUGGAGUUGCGAAGCUAACGCGUUAAGUAUCCCACCUGUGUAGUACGAUCGCAAGAUUAAAACAUAAAGGAAUUGACGGGGACCCGCACAAGCGGUGGAGCGUGAUCUUUAAUUCGAUGGUAAACGAUAAACCUUACCAAGGCUUGACAUCUCGGGAAGGCUUCCGAAAGGAAACUGUGCCCUUGGGAACCCGAAGACAGGUGAUGCAUGGCCGUCGUCAGCUCGUGUCGUGAGAUGUUUGGUUAAGUCCAUCAACGAGCGCAACCCUUGCAACCAGUUGUAUUUUUCUGGUAGGACUGCCCCGGUAACGGGGAGGAAGGAGGGGAUGAUGUCAGGUCAGUAUUUCCCUUACGCCUUGGGCUAGAAUCGCGCUACAAUGGCCGGUACAAUGCGAAGCGAA